rnacentral:rRNA from 1 species
UACAGAGGGGGCAAGCGUUGUUCGGAAUUACUGGGCGUAAAGGGCGCGUAGGCGGCCUGCUAAGUCGAACGUGAAAUCCCCGAGCUCAACUCGGGAACUGCGUCCGAUACUGGCAGGCUUGAAUCCGGGAGAGGGAUGCGGAAUUCCAGGUGUAGCGGUGAAAUGCGUAGAGAUCCGGAAGAACACCGGUGGCGAAGGCGGUUAGCUGGGCAGUAGCUGACACUGAGGCGCGACAGCGUGGGGAGCAAACAGG